ACCUUACGAGGCAAAUCAUCACAGAAUCUGGAAAUACAAGCUUGAGCAGUCUAAAGGGUUUCGCCAUUUGAAUCCAAUCAAUGACAGGACUUCGCAAUAGAAAUAAGGACGCAACAAAGCAAUUGGAACGAUCAAGGUCACCGAACCAACCGUCAUUUCCGAACUAACAAUUGUUCUUUGUCUGAAAAGUUGAAACAGGUAUAAUCCAAGACAACCGUGCAAGAAGCAGGUGUCACCCAAAGAAGAAGGUACAUGGGCACAAGAAAUAUUUUGGCAAUAAGGAAUUCACUCGAAAGGUAAGUUUCUACGAGACUCCCUUUUAUCUUCUACUAAAACAAGAAAAUUCAAAAAAGAGAGGUUAGUUAGUAUUCUCGAACUUUGUCCCCAGCCACUUAGCAUUAGGGUUUUAAAACCCUAAACUGAUCUUUCGCUUCAGUCAGCAUUAGGGUUUUAAACCCUAAACUGAACUCUUUCCUUUAGUCAGCAUUAGGGUUUUAAAACCCUAAACUGAACUCUUUCUUUUAGUCAACAUUAGGGUUUUAAACCCUAAACUGAACUCUUUCCUUCAGUCAGCAUUAGGGUUUUAAACCCUAAACUGAACUUUUUCCAUUUAGUCAGCAUUAGGGUUUUAAACCCUAAACUGAACUUUUCCAUUUAGUCAGCAUUAGGGUUUUAAACCCUAAACUGAACUUUUCUUUCAGUCAGCAUUAGGGUUUUAAACCCUAAACUGAACUUUUCUUUAAUCAGCAUUAGGGUUUUAAACCCUAAACUGAAUUUUUCCUUUAGUCAGCAUUAGGGUUUUAAACCCUAAACUGAGUUUUUCCUUUAAUCAGCAUUAGGGUUUUAAACCCUAAACUGAACUUUUUCUAUCCAGCCAGCAUUAGGGUUUUAAACCCUAAACUGAACUUUUCCUUUAAUCAGCAUUAGGGUUUUAUACCCUAAACUGAACUUUUUCCAUUU
rnacentral:lncRNA from 1 species